UACGUAGGGUGCAAGCGUUGUCCGGAAUUAUUGGGCGUAAAGGGCUCGUAGGCGGUUUGUCGCGUCGGGAGUGAAAUCCACUGGCUUAACUGGUGGCUUGCUUUCGAUACGGGCAGACUGGAGGUAUGCAGGGGAGAACGGAAUUCCUGGUGUAGCGGUGAAAUGCGCAGAUAUCAGGAGGAACACCAAUUGCGAAGGCAGCUCGCUGGGACGUAACUGACGCUGAGACGCGAAAGCGUGGGGAGCAAACAGG
rnacentral:rRNA from 1 species